rnacentral:misc_RNA from 1 species
AGCAGCCGCGGUAAUUCCAGCUCCAAUAGCGUAUAUUAAAGUUGUUGCAGUUAAAAAGCUCGUAGUUGAAUUUCGGGAUUGACACAUCGGUCGUGCCUUAAGGGGUAUGAACUGGUGUAGUCAAUUUCUCACCUUCUGGAGAACCGCGAUGCCCUUAAUUGGGUGUCGCGGGGAACCAGGACCUUUACUUUGAAAAAAUUAGAGUGUUUAAAGCAGGCAUUUUGCUUGAAUACAUUAGCAUGGAAUAAUAAAAUAGGACGGCAUGAUUCUAUUUUGUUGGUUUCUAGGAUCACCGUAAUGAUUAAUAGGGAUAGUUGGGGGCAUUAGUAUUCAAUUGUCAGAGGUGAAAUUCUUGGAUUUAUUGAAGACUAACUACUGCGAAAGCAUUUGCCAAGGAUGUUUUCAUUAAUCAAGAACGAAAGUUAGGGGAUCGAAGACGAUCAGAUACCGUCGUAGUCUUAACCAUAAACUAUGCCGACUAGGAAUCAGACGAUGUUAAUUUUUAAUGACUUCGUUGGCA